AGUUGCCAGCAUUCAUUGGGCACUCAAGGUGACUGCGGCUAAAAGUCGGAGAAGUGGGGAUGACGUCAAACCAUCAUGCCCCUUAUGACCUGGGCUACACACGUGCUACAAUGGGCGGUACAAAGGGUCGCGAACCCGCGAGGGGGAGCCAAUCCCAAAAAAGCCGCUCUCAGUUCGGAUUGCAGGCUGCAACUCGCCUGCAUGAAGCCGGAAUCGCUAGUAAUCGCGGAUCAGCAUGCCGCGGUCGAAUACGUUCCCGGGCCUU
rnacentral:rRNA from 1 species